GUAAGUGUGAUAACUCUGUUAGCCCUUGGAAAAGACACAAGAAAAAACAACCCUGUCUGUUACAACCAAGAAGGGAGCAAGGCGAGGGCACUGCUGGCUUCCGGGCAAUCCCACGGCACCCCCAGGAGAGGCCGUCCACUCACCAGGUGCAAUGGGUGGCAGCUUCAGAACAGGCUGGGAUGCAAACCCCGUGUCUGGGGGGGCCAGGCUGGAGGUCACUGCGGCGUCCGGUGAGAGGUGCAGGGCCACACCAAACGGAGGCGGCCAGCAGUCGGCAAACCCCCACAGCUGCGUCCACCCAGCCCACGUGGCACCCACAGCUGCGUCCACCCACCCCACAUGGCUCACACAGACGUCCACCCAGCCCACGUGGCACCCACAGCUGCAUCCACCCAGCCCACGUGGCACCCACAGCUGCGUCCACCCAGCCCACGUGGCUCACACAGACGUCCACCCAGCCCACGUGGCUCACACAGACGUCUACCCAGCCCACGUGGCACCCACAGCUGCGUCCACCCAGCCCACGUGGCUCACACAGACGUCCACCCAGCCCACGUGGCACCCACAGCUGCGUCCACCCAGCCCACGUGGCUCACACAGGCCCUGUGACGGACAUGCAGGUCAAGGGAAAGUGCCACACGGGGAACAGGGGCUCAACAAAGGGCACAGGCUACUUAACAAGAAAGGACUACACGUCCAGACCCAGGGAAAAAUGGCCCUCGCCACAGCAGUGCCAAGAUGAACUCAAGUGGCUUAUCUGUCUACACGUCACCAUAACCCGCAAAACCGCGAGAAAAAACCACGGGAAAAAUCCUUGCCUUGGACAGGACCUGGAAGGCACGGCCAUUAAAAAAAUCAAUGACUUGAAUUUCAGCAAAAUGAAUGACUUGAGCUCUGCGGGAGGCACGGUGCAGGAGAUGAGAGGGCGAGACAUGGAGGGAGGGCGGCCCGCGGGCUGCGAGGGAUGAGGGACUCGCGUCCGAGACGCACGAGGGCCCCCCGACUCAGUGUCAGGAAAACGAGCCAUUGAUUUAUUUAAGUGGGAGAAGAAAUUAGAACCAUUUACAGAAACAGCGCUGGCAGCACCUGACAGCGUCGCUAGCACCUGGGAAACGUGGCCAGGGCCGCAGGAGCCCCAC
rnacentral:lncRNA from 1 species